CCUCAGCCUCCCAAGUAUCUGGGACUAUAGGUGUGUGCCACCACGCCUGGCCCCUUCUUCUUUUAAAGGUUCAAAUCACCAGAGGAAUGUGGAGGGAACUGAAGGAUUCAAAUGAGGUUUGGGACCUUACAGUGACUCUAGAAAUGAAGCUAGAGCCUAGAGCCUGUGCCUACAUGCAACUCACCAAGUCAUUGCUCCUAUAAACCUAUCAGGAAUGUGCUGCUCAGCCCGAGCAUCCUGAGGGGUGGUGACCAGAAUUUUGUGUGGCUGGGGACCCUGGAGAGGGUCUUCUGUUUCUGCUGCAGCUGCCCUCACAGGGAACCUUACUAAGACCAAGCAAGGUUUCCUUCCAGCUCUUUGGGCUGGCUCAAACCUGACUUCAGUAACAGCACGGGAGUCUUGGGCAUGCAGCAGGAAGUGGGGUGGGGAUGACAGGCCCUGGGAGUCUGUAAGAAACUUGUCCUGGCCCCAUUGUAGGCUCAGAGCCAGGUAAAAUAGAGAAGAUCUGAGACAACCAGCUCCACUUUCCCGUGAGAGAGGAGGUGGGGAAGGGGUGAUCAGUGGAAGUCAAGUAUCCUUUUUUCCUUUAAGUAACAUAUGUGCUAAGUGGCCAGGAAUGAGGAAAGGGCUGCAUCCAUCCUGUCUGCCUCCCGUCCAAUGCAGAGGAAAGCCUGCACCCCUCCUUGGUCUGUCUCAAUCUGCAUUUUGCCAGUAAGACUUGCUGGGCCUCCACUCGGGUUAAGGUCGAUGAAUAAAACCAGAGAACUUAAAAAGAGGAAACAUCAACACUGAAGAGGUCAUGGGGAAGAGGAAGGAAAGUACGGCACCUGCUAUCAAUUUGACUUGCAUGUAACCAGAAUUCUCAGAACUUGUUGGUUGCUCCUGCUGGCUCCUGUCCAUGUAUGCCAAGAGGACAUGAUGGCAAGCGGAUUAGAACCAGAGAUGAUGAUCCUUCCAUCCCCCUCUGGGCAUCCUCCUCAGCUUCAAGAGCUACAGAUGCAAGAGCAUGAUGGGCAUCCUCCUCAGCUUCAAGAGCUACAGAUGCAAAAGCAUGAAUGAAGUCCUGCCUGUGUUGCCUGACUUUGUCACUGAGACCAGAAGGAGACCCCAUGCGGAAUCAACUAGCAAACACAAACAGCUGCCUGGUGCUGCAGGGCAAACAGACUUGAUGAUGAAAUUCUCAAAAUUCAUCAUUGCCUAAUUUUUUUUUUUUUUAGAAAUAUGCACCAUUUUGUUAGCCAAAGUGCAGAUUUUCGUAGAGAAAACAGGAAAAUUAUUGAUAUGGGUACACUCACAACGUGCUAAAUACAAACUAAACAGAUAACCCAUAAGGCAGAAAAUAUAACCCCUCCCCGACUCCAUUUCUGCCUUUGUCCCUUUCCAUCUGCAUGGCUGUCCCCCACCCUGGCAAGUGCUCUGCCUCUCCCAAGAGCAUUUUUGGGGGUCCAGCCAGGUAGCACCACCUUCCUUAUCCCUUAGUCCUUCCUGCUGCUCAGAGAGGAAUUUUCUGGAGCUGGGCUCUAAUCAGUGCACAGAGGUGGGAUGGAGAUGAGUUUUUUUAAAAUAUAAUUUAUCACGCAUUUGCACCCAUUGUUCUCCCAACCAGAUUGCAAACCACUAGGAUACAGGGUCAUGUCUAGUUUCUCUUGCCUGCCCUCCCCUCCCCAGCUCCCAAAUUAGACAUGGCAGAGUAUCUUUACUACACUGGGCUGGCAAUUCAUGUUUUACACUGAAUAAGUAGAUAAGGCAGAAUUGUCUAUUUUUAUGUUGUUUUUUGGCAGGUCCCUGCCA
rnacentral:lncRNA from 1 species